rnacentral:rRNA from 1 species
UACCUGGNUGAUCCUGCCAG